rnacentral:tRNA from 1 species
AGGAAUUAGCCAUAUUUUCCCUGUUUUAUCAAAAGCUUAGGUCUUGCUGGCUAUCACCUUGACAUGGUGGGGGUCGUUGGUUCGAGUCCAAUUGUGCCUACCA